CUUCCUGAAGAUAUUUCUCCCUAAGGAUGCAGAGGAAAUCACAGCUUUCAGAUUGCAUUUGUCCAAUUUGUUAGACAAAACUAAUAUCAGCUUUUACGGAGGAAAAGAUGCCAACCUACAGUUCUUUCAAUGUAAAGGUGCUUCUGUAGCUGCAGAAAAAUGCUGACAUUGCUCCUUGAUUGCAAAAGGAGCAUGUGACACAUAAUUAAUCCACAUAUGGACAAGAAUGUCUUCCAAGACUGGAAAUGGAAAACUAAUCAAGAGCACAUAUGACACACUGGAUCCAGCACACAUGGUUCACUAGGACUUCUUGGCUGCCUCACAUCUGGCUGGCUCAGAGCGCAGGCAGAACCGCACAUGACUGCCUGCCUUCUUUCAUGGAGACAUCUGUUGAACUGAAGCCUUCAGUUUUAUCAGCUUAGGACAUAUCUCACAGAAGAAAAUCUCCUCUGGCAAUUGACUUGAAAACUGCACACCAAGACCUUAUUUGGAAGGGCCAAACUGACUACUGCUACAGAUGCCAAAUUCUCAUUGGCUUUAGCAGAGGAUCUACUUCAGAAAGGAUGGAGGUGUUGUGGUUUAUAUCACUGUGUUGGCUACUGGAAGCAGCUGCGCUUUCCAGUCACACGGAGAAUUAUUGAGGUCUCAAACAGGAUGCUGAGGUUCCCAAGGAUGAGCACCUCUGGAAAGGUUUAGAUUUGGUUUCCCAGGAACUUAUAUCUUUCCUCAAAAUGUAGAUGAACAUGAAGACAAACUAAUUCUUCAUUGCUGGAUGCCAUAUGUUAUAUAAAGAUUUACAGAGCUGUUUGUAGCAGGUGCUUUGGCUGUGCUGUUUACUGCUUCAAUGAGAGACCAAGUUAGAUUUUUAUAUUCCUCUCCCAUAAUAUUUAAUGAGCAAUAUUUAUGCUUAUGUCAGAGAUAUGCUUUGAGCCGUGAUUAUUAUCUGCAAUUUUGCACUGUAAUACGAUGUCCAACUUCAAUACUUACUGUUAUGAGGCACCGUUACGAGGCAGUGGUCCUUGUCGUCUGAUCUUACAAAAUGUAGAGAGUGGUUAUGGUUUUCGAGGCUGGAAAGGUCUGUGAAUGUGAGUAGUGAAUUAUGAAACUGGUGAAUUUUUUGUGUCUUGAAUCUGAAGAGCAGCCAACCAAAGCAACGUGCCUACAAUAUAUAUACACACAUAAAAAUGCACACGCGUACUCGCACAUAAACAAUACAGGUAUGGAUACAAAAAUUCAACUCUGUAAGUGUGUCCUGAAUCAAAUAUACUAAAAUAAAUCUCAACUAUAUUGUCUCAAAAGCAUCCCAUAAAUAGAAAAGUGCUCAGACAUGUUUGACCCUGCUAGCAGGGUACCAUGCAUCACCUGCUCUGUAAUACCUCACUUGAAGUACCUGACUCAUCAGUCAUGCUGCCUCCCUUUUACAAUGGGCUAAGGGAUGGGCACAAUCUCCCAUCUCAUGGGAGGCUAUUUAUUGGACCCUGUAAUGCAGACAGGAGCUUGAGCUCUAUUUCUGAGAGAAAGGGCUAACAUGAGGCUAAUUCAAAGGAAGCACAUGGGACAAGGCCCUGGUGGGGCCAAAUCACUGUGAAUGUAUCAAAGUGGAAAUUUGCAUCAGCUCAAGACAAGGGCUGAUGUACUUUGAAAACACAGAGCCUUAGUGAAACAGAACAUCGUUUCUCUUUAAAUAUCUGUUAACUGUUACAGCACUUCAAAAUGCAAUUGAGGGGUAAAGAUUGCAAAAGUACUUCAGGCUUCCCCACAAAAUUCGUCUUAGUAGGACUAUGUUUGAGGUACAAAUCUUUCAGAGAGAUCUUUACACAGAGACUUUUAAUUAUUUUCAUGGAAAGAUGGUGAAAGGAAAGUAGACAGUGAGCUAUACUCAUGCACGGGUUUGUGA